rnacentral:lncRNA from 1 species
UUUAGAGCUUAGAAAACAUAAGAAAUCAAGAGAUUCAAGGAUUUUAUGGCCAAGACAUGUUUUUGGGCUGUAAACCCCUUUUUAGGGUGCAAAUGACCCCCUGACACCUUAAUAAGCUUUGGUUAGUGACAUAGAACCUUACCCCAUGGACCUAAGGACCAAGAUUCACGAAAUGGUACUCCUUACCAAGAGCUUACGGCCGUAAACUCAUGGGGGAGUGGUCCCAGGGCCAUGAACACCAAGCAAGGCCAUUUUAGGGCCUUAAACCCACCCAAACUCUUGGUUAAAGCUUUGGAACACUUAACCACUUAAGCCCUUACAGUUUUAAGCCACAUUUGGUGACCAACUGAGAGUUUACAGCCAGGAGUUUACUCCCCUGGGCCAUAAACUCCAACACACAUGGUCUUUAGACCAUAAACUCCUGUAUGAGGCUUUGCACUCCUUUGUUGCAACCCGAUAACCUCCUAACACUUGACCAAAGUGUUUUCCUCACAAUAGGAUGUUUAUACAUGUUUAAUUAGUGUUAUAAUCACUAAUUGUUUAUAUACAUAUGUCCUCAUAUGUAAUCAGGAUCAUUGUGUGUGUCNGCUUAAAUGUUUAUACUUGUAUAAUUAGUGAUUAAAUCUCUAAUUAUUUAUAUACAUAUGUCUUCAUAUGUAAUUAGGAUCAUUGUGUGUGUCUAAGUCUUCACUUGACACGAAGCACUUGUCCGACACUUCCUUCUGAUCCCCUCACUGCAGGUGAGUUCAUAACCCUUUAAAAAAUGAUUUAAAUGUUUUUAAAUGUUUUUAUGUGGGGGGGAUACAAGUUGAAUCAUGCUAGUUAUUAUAUUAAUCACAUAUGAUUAAUAAGUA